CAUACAUCUCCUGCACUGGGCGUAUCGCAGGCAAAACCACCGAAGUCCAUGGGCAGUUCUUGGCUUAUAAAGCCAUCCCAAUCAGUGUACUCUCCACCAACCACGUACUCCCCUGGCUCACCCUUUCCAACCACAGAUGUCAAGAAAUGUCACGACAGAGGACUGGUCCAGCAUUUUCACAACAUCUUCGUGCUGUGUAAAAUCAAAUAAAUUAUGUUUAUAAAAAGAUAGCAAAAGGAGAGUUCUUUAUUACAGUAUUUUGCAUACAUGAGGCUUGAUCACCUACAUGCUGACCAUGCCACUCUCCAACCAAAAUAAAUCACUAAGCAAACUGCAUUUGCAUUCAUAAAAAAAGUUCAUAAUUUCAGAUUUGUAAGUUUAAUAGUCACCUGGAUUGUGUGGGCAUCAAUGGGCAGUGGCAGCUUCUGGAGUGUGUACAAGCACAGCUUUCCCUUUUCUAAAGUUAUUCUAGCAUAGUAAUUCAUGGUCUCAGUUUGGUGGACAGCAAACACCUGGUGAUUCUUCACUAGUGCCUUGAAAGGUUCACUCAUUACUCGUAGAUGCUCAACCUGUGGACAGUGUCAGCAUUAUUACCAUCUGUGGACAAUGUAAGCAUUAUUAUCAUGUGCAGACAGUGUCGACUCCAUUAUCACUAGUGUCAACCCCAUAAUGACCUGUAGUGUCAUAUGUGGACAGUGUCAGCUCCUUUAGCACCUGUUGAAAUGGUCAGUCUCACUAUCACUUCUGGAUAGUAUCCAUACCAUUAUUACUUGUGUUACUAGCCCCAUUAUUACCUACUGUAUCUUACCCAUUAUUACCUGUAGUAUCAACCCCAUUACUGCCUUGUGUACUAAUUUUUAUUUUGUUAACACAUUGGCUGUUUUCCACCAAGGCAGGGUGGCCUGGAAAAAGAAGAACAAUCAUUAUCAUUCACUCCAUCACUGUCUUGCCAGAGGUGUGCUUACACUACAGUUAUAAAACUGCAACAUUAACACCCCUGCCUAGUGUAUCUUACUCAUUAUUACCUGUACUAUCAGCCCUAUUAUUAUC